UCCUGAAAUGACAAAUGAAAAAUCAUAUCAUUACAUGAUGUGACCAAGCAGUAGCAUUUUUUAAUGUCAGACAUGAAUCUUCCUAAUAUUUAUACAGCUGUCAGCAUCUGGGAAUAAAGGUAGCCAGACAGCCAAGGUUAUUUCUUGACUGUUACAUGGUACCUAUGGAUCAAGUUCAAUGUACUGUGAAGAGCAACUACCUCUUUUUCUUCUCUUGCCAGAAAUAAACAUUUGUUCCAUUUUAAUUUGUUGCCUUUCUUUAAUUUUUUUUAAUUUUCUUUUUUAUUUUCCAAAAUUCUUUUCAGACUUCAGGAUUUUGACUUGGUUUCCAUUCAAAAUACACUUCUUGAGACUUUUUCAUUGGUGCUUUCUGAGACACAAUGGAAAGAAUCCUUUAACUUACAUUAAAAAUUGUUAGUCAUGGUAACAGGUGGCUUGUACAAAAACGUUGGAUUUAUGUUCCACAGUUGCAUGUUAGUUUUUCCACACAUGACAGAUUAGAUAUUGAGGAAGCUAUAAAGUGUUAGCUUUAAGAAGGAAAUCUGAGUGAGGUGAUCUAUACAAACAGCAGAACCAGGAAACAAGAACAUGAAGGGCUGUGACUGAAAUUCUGCCCUGAUUUUCUUGCAUUAUUCAAAGAGGUAUUUAAAUUCAGAGGUAUGGUAACGGGGGGAAAAACUUGACAGAGAAAGCAGAAAGAGUUUCAAACUCCUCUUUUGCUGUAAGUCAAAACUGAACUUCAUGAUGACUAUACCUUGAAUUUCCAGGUGCUGCUGCUCCUCUGUUCUGGUUUUGGGAGUACUGAAUGUCUGAUCAGUGUACUCGCGAUACACUACCUUUCUGUAUUUUGACCCAAUGAAUUUGUCUCCUUUAUUUAAGAAUGGAUUGCCAGGACUGGGGGAAAAA